GGAUGCGAUCAUACCAGCACUAAAGCACCAGAUCCCAUCAGAAAUCCGAAGUUAAGCGUGCAUGGGAAAGAUUAGUACUAGGAUGGGUGACCUUCUGGUGAAGAAAUAGAGCAAGUU
rnacentral:rRNA from 1 species